ACAAUGAAGUUAAAAGCAGAGGGCCAUUAUCUAAACAACAUAUCACAUACAGGACCUCCAAGGGAAAUCAGGAAAGACAAAGGAAAAGGUGAACCAGGCUGGAAAGUCAGAGAGGGAAGAAGCAGGAAGCCAAAGAAAAAGGAUCUUUCGUUGCCUCCUCCCUGAAAUGGUACUAUUCCUUCUAUCACCCUGCAAUUCUAUUCCCAUCUUCUGCAAAUAUACAUCAAAGGAGAGGCUCUUCUUGCUGAAUUGAGUAGGAAUCAACACCACCACCACAACCAAUUGAUUUGAGUGAUUUGAAUUGUCCUGCUAGCUUUAAAUUUCUCCUGAGAACCCUGAUCAACUAAGUUCAAAGUCAUAUACCAGUAUAUGAAUUCUGCAGCAAAAAGUCCCAGCAAAGCAGGAUAUUUGCCUACUAUCUAUCAUAUAAUCCAUCCUCUUGGUUAUAGAUAGAGACUUGGCCAACUCAUCAGUAUUCUAUGAUGGUCUCCAUCUAAUUUGAGCUCUUGGAAGGCCUGCUCUGCUUUUAUGAUGCUCCUCAGAAUGUGUUCUGUAUGUGAUGCUAACUUCUGAACCAACUGCAGGAUUUGAUUCAAUUCUUGCAGAAUUCAGAAAAGGACCUAAAAUGCCAUGAUCAGUUCAGAGACCACCUGAUUUUAUCACAGGCUCAACUGCAAAUACUUGUGCUUCCUACUCUCUCAGAAAAUCCACAAAUGACUUCAAGUUUCUUGCUCGCUUGCUUAUUUCGUAGAAUGGGAUGAAGUUUGUAGGAGUAGGCAACCUUUUGGUAGUCGUGCAUGUUGGAAUGAAAACAACAAAGAAUCUUGUAGCACUUUAAAGACUAGCAAAAUCAAUGUGCUUUCCAGGAUAACAGCCUACUGCAACAGAUGCUGCCGCCCACAAAAUGUUAUGCCAUAAUAAAGCCAUUAGCAUUUAAGAUGCCAUAAGA